rnacentral:rRNA from 1 species
AUGGAGAACAAGCCAAGCCAGCAUCUCAGUAACAAAUUCACAAUAACACCCACAAAUGGGUCUGGAUAUCUUGACAAUGAGACAAUAAAGCAGACCAUACUUGCACAAGAAGCUACAUUCCGGGAACAGGUCAUAGAACUUCAUCGUGUGUACAACGUGCAAAAGAACCUAAUGGGAUUAGAAUGCCAAAGAGGUGAAUUAAGUAAACAUUCUCAAGAGAAAAUGUAUUCAUCACCAUAUGGGGGUAUAAGAACAGUCCGACAAGUUGAGCCUCCUGCUGGACAUGAUAUGAAGAAACCAUCUAAAAAAUUCAAGAAGGGAAAAGAUUUAGUGUGUAGUUCAAACAGAGUUUCUAUGAGGCAUAGCAGUAGUAGUCCCACACAAGAAAAACUGGCCUUUCAGGUUUCAGAUGAUGCGCAUGCCAAUAAUAGUGAUGAUGAUGUGGUUAUACUCUCAGAGAAGCCUGCAAAUACUCCAGUAAGAAAUAAAGGUUCCUCUCCUGGUACAAAUGUGAAGGACCUUCAGGCUCCAGCUGAUGCACAUGACGAUGACAAUGAUGAUGAUGUGGUGAUACUAUUAGAGAAGCCUACAGAUAGGUGGCCAAUAACUAAUGGUUCAAUUCUUGGUACAAAUGCGAAGGACCUUCAGGUUCGAGCUGAUGCACAUGCAAAUGAUAAUGAUGAUGAUGUAGUGAUAUUGUCAGAGAAGCCUGCAAAAAGUUUGCCAAGAAAGCAUGGUUCAAUUCUUGGUACAAAUUUGAAUAACAUUCUGGUUCCAACCGGUGCACAUGUUUAUGAUUGUGAUGAUGAUGUGGUGAUACUAUUAGAGAAGUCUGCAGACAAUUUGCCAAGAAAUAAUGGUUCAAUUCUUGGUACAAAUGUUAAGCUUAACAGUGAGGGCUCCUCACGCAUGAAUAAGAAGUGGAUCAAUAGUUUACAACCAUCAGAACAAUGUUUUGAACAAAGAAGUUGA